rnacentral:rRNA from 1 species
CUACGGGCGGCUGCAGUGAGGAAUUUUGCGCAAUGGGGGAAACCCUGACGCAGCAACGCCGCGUGAGUGAUGAAGGCCUUCGGGUCGUAAAGCUCUGUCAAGUGGGAAGAACCCACCCUGUGCUAAUAUCACAGGGUGCUGACGGUACCACUGAAGGAAGCACCGGCUAGCUCCGUGCCAGCAGCCGCGGUAAUACGGAGGGUGCAAGCGUUAUUCGGAAUUACUGGGCGUAAAGGGCGCGUAGGCGGCCUUUUAAGUCAGAUGUGAAAUCCCGGGGCUCAACCCCGGAAGUGCAUCUGAAACUAAGAGGCUUGAGUAUGGGAGAGGGAAGUGGAAUUCCUGGUGUAGAGGUGAAAUUCGUAGAUGUCAGGAGGAACACCGGUGGCGAAGGCGACUUCCUGGACCAAUACUGACGCUGAGGCGCGAAGGCGUGGGGAGCAAACAGGAUUAGAUACCCGCGUAGUC